UUAGGUCAGGGUUAGUUCCUGUAGAGUUAGGUUAACGUUAGUUCCUGUAGAGUUAGGUUAACAUUAGUUCCUGAAGGUUUAGGUCAGGGUUAGUUCCUGUAGAGUUAGGUUAACGUUAGUUCCUGAAGGUUUAGGUCAGGGUUAGUUCCUGUAGAGUUAGGUCAGGGUUAGUUCCUGUAGCGUUAGGUUAACGUUAGUUCCUGAAGGUUUAGGUCAGGGUUAGUUCCUGUAGCGUUAGGUUAACGUUAGUUCCUGUAGGUUUAGGUCAGGGUUAGUUCCUGUAGGUUUAGGUCAGGGUUAGUUCCUGUAGAGUUAGGUCAGGGUUAGUUCCUGUAGGUCAGGGUUAGUUCCUGUAGAGUUAGGUCAGGGUUAGUUCCUGUAGGUUUAGGUCAGGGUUAGUUCCUGUAGAGUUAGGUCAGGGUUAGUUCCUGUAGGUUUAGGUCAGGGUUAGUUCCUGUAGAGUUAGGUCAGGGUUAGUUCCUGUAGUUAGGUCGGGGUUAGUUCCUGUAGUUAGGUCAGGGUUAGUUCCUGUAGAGUUAGGUCGGGGUUAGUUCCUGUAGUUAGGUCAGGGUUAGUUCCUGUAGAGUUAGGUCAGGGUUAGUUCCUGUAGGUCAGGGUUAGUUCCUGUAGAGUUAGGUCAGGGUUAGUUCCUGUAGGUUUAGGUCAGGGUUAGUUCCUGUAGGUUUAGGUCAGGGUUAGUUCCUGUAGAGUUAGGUUAGGGUUAGUUCCUGUAGGUUUAGGUCAGGGUUAGUUCCUGUAGGUUUAGGUCAGGGUUAGUUCCUGUAGGUUUAGGUCAGGGUUAGUUCCUGUAGAGUUAGGUUAGGGUUAGUUCCUGUAGGUUUAGGUCAGUGUUAGUUUGGUUAUGGUUUGGCGCCACCAGGUUGUCUUGAGUGUAGCGUCUCUUUUAGUUGUUGUGGUUUAAUGUUUCAUUAAAUGCUGCUUGAACUGAUGAAAGAAGUGAAGCAGCGUGGGAAAAUCCUGAGAGCUGGCUGUA